GCUUACAGAAGACUACAAAGAAGAACAAAUAGAAAACAGUUCUCUUACUGAAAACCUGAAUAAAUUAGUUUUGUUAAACGAGGAAGCAAACUUGGAAAGUGAACCAGCAACUGAAGUUCACAAGGAGGAACAUUUUCAAAUGAGGGAUUUUGGAACACCUCCGUUU